AACGUUUGGCGGCGUGCUUAAUACAUGCAAGUCAACUGAAGCACCGGUAGUAAUACUGGUGUGGAGGUGGCGCACGGGUGAGUAACACGUAGGUAAUCUGCCUUCAGGUCUGACAUAACCCCGAGAAAUCGGGGCUAAUAGCAGAUGAUGCAGCGGCUUGACAUCAAGACAGUUGUUAAAGCUUCGGCGCCUGAAGAUGAGCCUGCGUCUGAUUAGCUAGUUGGCGGAGUAAUGGCCCACCAAGGCUACGAUCAGUAACUGGUCUGAGAGGAUGAUCAGUCACACUGGAACUGAGACACGGUCCAGACUCCUACGGGAGGCAGCAGUAAGGAAUAUUGCUCAAUGGGAGAAAUCCUGAAGCAGCAACGCCGCGUGAGGGAUGAAGGGCUUUUGCUCGUAAACCUCUGUAGUGAGGGAAAAAUUUCCACUCUGUGGAAUAUGAUGGUACCUCAAAAGUAAGCCCCGGCUAACUACGUG
rnacentral:rRNA from 1 species